UCGCCCAUUUGGAACACUCAGUCCAGCUAUGCAUCACCCCUUCGCUGAUGAGUCUUAAGAAAAUCCAAAUUUAAAAAUUGCUGGGUCCAUCUCUCUUGCCAUCCAGAAAAGUCAGAGCAACAGGUCUUGCUGGUUUUAAGUGUUGCCUGUGUUUCUGGCAUUGGUAAUUUUCUUUGUUUUCCUGUAGUUUUAGGUAUACAUAUAUAAUGACAUCUCCAAAAUUCAUCAAUAUUAGCAUUUGUUAUGAAGAUUUUUCAGGCAACUGGCUUACCAUAUGGCCUAAAUCUGAUUCUAAAGUCCGAGUUUU
rnacentral:lncRNA from 1 species